rnacentral:lncRNA from 1 species
GAGCCUUGGGGCGCUCUGAUUUAGAGAUGUGAGAAAUCUGGAACCUGUAAAGGAGACUGAGAAGGAGCUACUAGGAGGGAGACUCCUCCAUCAGUCUGGCAUUAUUUUGAGAGUGUUCAUCUUUUUAUUGUAUGUGCUGUUCUUAAAGAAAAAAUGUGUUUAAGUAAGGAACAUCUUUCGUUCAUACAAGGGAAGUCAGCUGCCAUGUUGCAAUUUGCCCUCUGGAGAGACCCACUUCAUAAGGAAGGGAAGAAGGACUCUGGCCAAGAGUCAGUGAGAAAUUGAAUAUCCCAAUCCAUCAACCUGCAAGGAACUGAUCCUGCCAAAAAGCACACAACUUAGUUUGCCAGCAGAUCCCCCUCAAGUUGAGGCUUCAGAUGAUACUACAUACUUGGCCGACAGCUUGAUUGCAAACUCAGGACAUAUCUUGAAGCAAAGGCAGUCAAUUGAGCUGAACUUGUGUCUUGGAUUUAAAAAAAAAAUGAAAAAAUAUUUUUUAAACCCGCUAAUAUUUUGGGUAAUUUAUCAUAGAGCAAUAGAUAACUCAUCCAUCAGCAAAAUAAACAAACAAAUAAAUAACAAUACAAAGAAUGUCACAUAAUGAUAAAGGGAUCAAUUCACUAAAAUUAUAUAGUAAUUUUAAAUAUAUAUGUACCUAAACAUCAAGCUGUGGGAUAUUU